rnacentral:rRNA from 1 species
UUGUUGCUGGCCCCUGCAUGGGGGCAUGUGCACGCUCUGUUUACACAUCCACUCACACCUGUGCACCCUCUGUAGUUCUAUGGCCUGGGUGGCCCUGUCAUCCUGCUGUGGUUCUACGUAUUUACACACACGCAUUGAAAUAAAGUCUAAUGGAAUGUAUGUCGCGUUUAACGCAAUGAAAUACAACUUUCAGCAACGGAUCUCUUGGCUCUCGCAUCGAUGAAGAACGCAGCGAAAUGCGAUAAGUAAUGUGAAUUGCAGAAUUCAGUGAAUCAUCGAAUCUUUGAACGCACCUUGCGCCCUUUGGCUAUUCCGAAGGGCAUGCCUGUUUGAGUAUCAUGAACACCUCAACUCUCAUGGCUUGCCGUGAUGAGCUUGGACUUUGGAGGUCUUGCUGGCCUGUGGUUGGCUCCUCUCAAAUGAAUCAGCUUGCCGGUGUUUGGUGGGAUCACAGGUGUGAUAACUAUCUACGCUUGUGGUUUUCCACCAGAUAACCCCCAGCAAUGGAGGUUCACCGGAGCUUAUAAAUGUCUCUCCCUGGCGAGGACAGAUUUUGACCGUUUGAUCUCAAAUCAGGUAGGACUACCCGCUGAACUUAAGCAUAUCAAUAAGCCGGAGGA